ACUCACGAGCUGUGAGAUCAUGACCUAAGACGAAAUUGGCACUUAACCGACUGAGCCACCCAGGAGCCCCAGACCCCAUCAAAUUCUUAGGCAACCUCUCUUUGUUUUUGAGGGGGAACUCUGUGUCUUGGGGAAAAUAGGGUGAGUUAGGAAAAGUUCUCAGCCAGGUUCCAGAGUUGAGCUCAGAUCGAGGCUGAGGAAAGACUUUUCUCCCAAGGAGUAGUCAUGCAAGUAGUUACUUAGCUGGGUGACCCAUUAUAGCAGCACUCCGCUUCUGCCAAGUCUAGAGACAUUUCUCCUAUCCUGAUUCCCUCUACUUCUUAAAAUUGCUUCUUGUGCUUCCCUUUGAUAAAUGUCGAAUGUUCUGCUACACCAGACACUGUUCCAGGCACUGCACAGACUCCAACAGAACAACAGCAGUCUUGCCUUCGUGGAGUUUCUAUUCUUGCUGGGGAGAGGACUAGGGAAGGGGGUGUGACCAACAGUAAAAGAGGUAAGUAGAGGGUGCCGGUGGGCAGGCAAGCAAUGGGAGGUAGAAUGGAUGGCUGGAGAAGGACAGGUCUAAAGGAGGUGAGGGCACAGCAAAUUUUGCAAGGGUGCCAAGCAGGUGUGUCCCUGCCUGGCAUGUUGACAGCAGGGGGGCCAGGGUCCCCACCCACAUGUAUUUUGUUUUGAGGUUAUGCCAGAGAGAUUAAAAAGUGAAACAGAAACCUGAAGGAGGUUUGUUUCCAGGCAUAAUCUGUCUUCCUGAACAAACGCCAAGACCUGUGUCAACUACACAGACACAUCCUUUCCUACAGGGGCACUGGCUACUUGAGCUCCACAAGUCAUGCCCUGUCGACAUGAAGUGGCUGUUCAUCAAGAGCUGCCUGACAGGAAUGAAGGAACUCCUCAUCGUGAGCUGUUCACGGACAUGUCAAGCUCUUCAUCAGCUUCCCCGGCACCUGAUGUGAACAUGACCGAAAAGCUAGCAUGUAGUAAAGAAAGGCAGAAGGGGUUAAAAAUAUUUAACCUUGGAGAAGAAAAGCUUCAAAGAUGUGAAAUGUUCCCAGAUACAUUAAAUGGGAUGAAAUCCGUG